GAAUAUUGGACAAUGGGCGGAAGCCUGAUCCAGCAACGCCGCGUGAGGGAUGACGGCCUUCGGGUUGUAAACCUCUUUCAGUACCGACGAAGCGAAAGUGACGGUAGGUACAGAAGAAGGACCGGCCAACUACGUGCCAGCAGCCGCGGUAAUACGUAGGGUCCGAGCGUUGUCCGGAAUUAUUGGGCGUAAAGGGCUCGUAGGCGGUUUGUCGCGUCGGGAGUGAAAACACCGGGCUUAACUCGGUGCUUGCUUUCGAUACGGGCAGUCAAGAGGUAUGCAGGGGAGAAUGGAAUUCCUGGUGUAGCGGUGAAAUGCGCAGAUAUCAGGAGGAACACCGGUGGCGAAGGCGGUUCUCUGGGCAUUACCUGACGCUGAGGAGCGAAAGUGUGGGGAGCGAACAG
rnacentral:rRNA from 1 species